AACGCACAUUGCGCCCCUUGGUAUUCCGGGGGGCAUGCCUGUCCGAGCGUCAUUAUCAACCCUCAAGCUCCGGCUUGGUGUUGGAGGCCUGGCCGUCCUCUUGCGAGGCCGGCCGCUCCCAAAGACAAUGGCGGCGCCUAGCGAGUCCCGGUGCAAUGAGCUCCCUGAGCACGCACUGCGGACGCCCUGGGUCGUCGGCCUCACACUUCUUCUAAGGUUGACCUCGGAUCAGGUAGGGAUACCCGCUGAACUUAA
rnacentral:misc_RNA from 1 species